UGACCGAGACGGGGGAGGCAUCGGCC
rnacentral:misc_RNA from 1 species